rnacentral:lncRNA from 1 species
AUUAAGAAGACCAUGUUGACCAGAUCUCCUCAAAUUUCCUCCAGGCGACUUGGCCGUGUGAACUCAGAGGGGAGACCAAGCUGGAAAUAAAGGACCUGUUAUUUCAUGGAGCAGAGACAAGCAACACCUUGGAGAUACGAUGAUCUGUGGAAAGUGUCCUGCUGUGACCUUCUGUGGGCUCCUUGAAUCUCCCGUGAGACUGGGAGCCGGUUGCUCAGCCUCUCUGGACUUCCGUACUCAAGCCGCAGAGCCAACUGGAAAGCUUCAGAUGUAGGAAAGCUACCUAGCAUCCUCACUCCAUGUUUCCAGAACACUGUGGACAUUAAUGCAAUGGUGCCUGUGAAAAUCAGAAGUCCUCAGAGGUUGGUCCAAUGCAAAUGUGAUUUACUCAUUACUGUUAUGAAGAGACCCCACAAACAUCAGGCAUGUAAACGGAAUGUAUAAAUAUUUGUGUAUGCAUACACUCCUGCCUUUAUGAGGGUUCAUAAAACCCAAACAGCACUCAUUGAUUUUUGUCUUAUUGUAAAGG